CAUGAUCUGCAUCUUUGUCUUCUCGUGUCUUGCAGGUCUCAGUUUGGGGCUUGAGGUCCAUCAGUCCCACUCUGAUCUCAUCAAAACGACUGGUGACAAAGUUCACAUUUUCUGCACCCACCAAAAAACCGACUACAGACAGAUUCUCUGGUACCAACGGAGACCCACAGACACGGCCAUGAAGCUCAUCGGAUAUUUGUACUUCAAAGAUCCGACUAUGGAAGACGAAUAUAAAAAGGACUUUGGGAUCUCUGGAAAUCUGGGAGGGGAUACGGCGAAGAACGGAUCCCUGACGAUCCAAACCGUGAAACAGAAUCACACUGCCGUUUACUACUGUGCUGCAAGAGAAGCACAAUGACAGAAAUGCUCUCUGCACCUCAACAAAAACUGUGCUGUGUUUUUAUAUCAUCGGUGGUU